rnacentral:rRNA from 1 species
UACGUAGGGAGCAAGCGUUGUCCGGAAUCAUUGGGCGUAAAGCGCGCGUAGGCGGCUCGCUCAGUCUGUUGUGAAAGUCAAAGGCUCAACCUUUGAAUGCCGAUGGAUACUGUCGAGCUAGAGUCCGGAAGAGGCGGGUGGAAUUCCUGGUGUAGCGGUGGAAUGCGCAGAUAUCAGGAGGAACACCAACGGCGAAGGCAGCCCGCUGGGACGGUACUGACGCUAAGGCGCGAAAGCGUGGGGAGCGAACAGG